UACGUAGGGUGCAAGCGUUAAUCGGAAUUACUGGGCGUAAAGCGUGCGCAGGCGGUUGUGCAAGACAGAUGUGAAAUCCCCGGGCUUAACCCGGAACGGUCAGAUGAUACUGCUUUGCUAGAGUGCGGAAGGGGCAAUCGGAAUUCUUGGUGUAGCGGUGAAAUGCGUAGAUAUCUGGAGGAACACCGGUGGCGAAGGCGGCAUUCUGGACCGACAUUGACGCUGAGGAGCGAAAGCCAGGGGAGCAAACGGG
rnacentral:rRNA from 1 species